UAAGGAAUAUUGGUCAAAUGGACGCAAGUCUGAACCAGCCAUGCCGCGUGAAGGAUUAAGGUCCUCUGGAUUGUAAACUUCUUUUUAUCUGGGACGAAAAAAGGCGAUUCUUCGUCACUUGACGGUACCAGAUGAAUAAGCACCGGCUAACUCCGUGCCAGCAGCCGCGGUAAUACGGAGGGUGCAAGCGUUAUCCGGAUUCACUGGGUUUAAAGGGUGCGUAGGCGGGGCAGGUAAAGUCAGUGGUGAAAAUCCUGGNGCUUUAAACUCCGAACUGCCAUUGAUACUAUCUGUCUUGAAUAUUGUGGAGGUAAGCGGAAUAUGUCAUGUAGCGGUGAAAUGCUUAGAUAUGACAUAGAACACCUAUUGCGAAGGCAGCUUACUACGCAUAUAUUGACGCUGAGGCACGAAAAGCGUGGGGAUCAAAACAGGAUUAGAUACCCUGGUAGUCCACGCCCUAAACGAUGGAUACUCGACAUAACGCGAUACACUGUGUGUGUCUGAGCGAAAGCAUUAAGUAUCCCCACCUGGGAAGUACGACCGCAAGGUUGAAA
rnacentral:rRNA from 1 species